rnacentral:snoRNA from 1 species
UCUGGCGAUGACGACCACCUUGCCCUCACUGAGAACCCUGUUCGCUGCUGAGAGCGUCACCGUGUACUCAGGUGAGCUGAGCCAGC